GGCGGGAACGGCGUGUGUGGGCGUUGUGUGAAGGACGGCAGGGCGCCUCGGGCCGCUGGGUGCGGCUUUUCCUCGUACCGUAGAUGUGUCUGGUACAAGGGUCCGGGGAGUCCUGGAAGACCUCUGUCACCCUGAUGAAAGCAGGAAAAACAGAUGAGAUGACUGCCAAUGCAACUGCUAGCAAGAAAUAUUCCAUGAGCAUGAAAUUUCUUUGUCCGAGAUACUUUCUAUCAGAAAUUAGUUCAUCAAUUUAGGAGCUACCUUUGACCCAGGGAGCCCAAAACCUGGUUCUCCAAUUGGUCCAGCAAGACCAGGAUAAAGAUGCUGAUAUGAGAAACCAGGAUUACUUCUCCAUUUAUUAAUCAGUACAGAAGACCAGUACAAGAGGCAGAACCCAAAAAAUCUCACCAGUUAUUCUCACUAAGAGAAGCAGUAAACCCAACAAAGGCUUGGAUAUCAGCACAGAGUGAACAGUAAGAAUGCAUGAAGGGAAGCAGGUGGGCUGCAGACAGAAAUGGACUAACCUUUUGUCCAGGGGCUCCAUCUUCUCCUGGAAGGCCAGGCAGACCUGCCAGUCCUGAAAGUCCUGGCUCACCCUGACAUCAAUAAAGGUCACAAGAGUGAGAAUGGGCAGAUCUCUAUCUAUGGUUCUGCUUCAAGCUCUCUCACUGUCUCUUCAUUUUGGAAAUCUUUCGAUUGACAGUUUACAAAUCAAGUGUGGCAUCUGCACUCCAUCCCAAAAUCCGUAUCAUUCCUACUUCUUAGACUGCAUCUUGAUGAUGGCUUUACCUCCAGCCUCUUCACAAGCUUUGAAAUUGGGAGUUAAAUUAUGGAAAUUUUGAAAAACACCUGAAAUCACAAGUGUGAAACUCUUGUGAAUGCAGAACAUAUAGAAGUUGAGGAAUUUGCUCCCGAGCAGACACCCCAGGAAAUAAGAAACUGAAAGUGAGGUGAUGACAGCUUCAGAGCUCCAUGAAUUUGCAAGGCCAUUCUGAAGGAAUUCUGAAUGAAGAGCAGGGGCUUAGGGAUGCCAGUUCCUGUGGUGGUAGAGUGUGUCUUCUUGCACCAGCAACAGUCCUCACUGUCACUACCUAAUGGAUAGAAGUAACAGCAAGCUUAACUCUUCCAUGUGGCUCUGUCCCUCCUCCCUGCCUGGCAGAAACUCGGGUGGAGCUGUAGUAGAAAGCAGAUGCUUUAAUCUCACCUAGCACAUCGAGAAGACAUCAUCUGGCAUUUGGAUAAAGAAUUACUCUGCUGGAAAAAUGCCUUAUCAAUUGAAGAUUUUCAAGUGGUUUUCAGAAGAGAACGCCAACAGUCUGAAAUGGAAUCUCAGUGUGGAGUCUCAUUUCUUGUGAAGCAGGAAUUAGAGAUGCUGGGAGGCUGUGGGACAGAACUGCCCCCAACAGUCUCAAAAGUCACUUCCAUAAAUGAGGUAAAUAAAUCACUCUUUGAUUCAUCCGUAAUUGUAAGCUUCUGAGAAGCAACCAGUGAUUUGUCUUAGUUGCUCUUGUCUUAGGCUUCUUGUAUUCCUUUUCUUAUGCUACUAGUUAGUUUUACUGGCCUGGAGUAGAACUUCUUAGAACUUCAUUUACUUAGUGUGCUAUUAGGAGUUAAAAUAAGGAGGGGGGAAGGAAGUGAAGCUGCCCAGCUAGAAGUGGUUGCUCCUGGGUCUGAUCAUUAUAUAUUACAAAGCAUGCUGUUGCAUAGUUAGGAUGGGUACUCUGCCAAAUGAGAGCAAGAGGAAUUUAGAGAGUUUGAUAGGUUUUUUUUUGUUUUAAAUAUUGAACAUUUCUUUCUGACAGUCUUCACUGUGUCAGCUAUGUAUUCCGUCUCAGCCCUGUCAGUACCAGCUUCUACCAAAAAGAAGAUAAAGUCAAGAAGAGAAGUCCUUUGUCAAAGACUGAGACACUAGGUGUACGGGAUACGUUACUAUUUUAAAUGCUUAGUCAUUCAUGCCAUAGGCCUUUCUGAGUAGACUCUUGCUGUCCAUGUCUGUUGCUCAGAUCUGUUAAAUGUCACCUGAGAGAGCAGGAAAAAUUUCUUCUCCUCCCCUCAAGCCCUUUUAGCUAUGGAUGGCUGAAGUAAAGACCACUUCAAAGAGAAAGCAUGGCUUUUAUUUUCUUACUGAGCUCUGCAGUGGUAGCAGGCAGUAGCCCUAAUUUUCCCAUUUCAAUUAAAUGUUAUGACUAUGCCUGGUACUCUUCAUACUUGGACGUAUCAGGAACAUCUCUUGUAAAAAUGCUGGAAUUGCAGUAGCUUAAAAUUGGUGUUGUGGAAAUAGGAUCAUUCCCCAUGCACAUUAACUCGAAGGCAGAAAACACAUGUGACUCACAUCCCUUAUCUUCAGCUCUAACUCCUUUCAGGAGUGCUUAGAUAAGAUUAAAAGAAGCAGACUUCCUUCCAAACAUCUCCCACUUUUUCACCUGAAGAAAUUUGCUGAGAAAGGAGCAGAGUCAGCUGCCAGCAUGUCACAAUGCAGAUUGAAAUUCAAGGAAAACAGGGCUCAUUUCUGCAAAUGUGCAUGUGAAACUGAGCUCUUUUUCUGAUGUUGCAAUCAAGUUGACAAAAAAAAGUUUCUAUUAACUCCUUUUUGUCAUUCAUUUUCAGUGAAUAAUAGUGUAGAACAAAUAUUAACUCCAAAAUCUGAAAGGAUUCUGACAGGCAGUUUAAAUAAACUAAAACUAAAUUCAGCAAACGAUUUGAGCUGCAAAGAUAGGCAGUCUGAAAAUGUAAAUGCUGACAUUGCCCACAGAACUUUACCCCUCGAUCUCCUGCAAGUGUAUUUUCUUUUUCAUCUUGGGGAAUCAGAUCUCUGCUUUCUUUGGCAGAUAGAGAAAUGCAAACAUAAAGAUGAAAAUGACAUUAAAACUAACUUAAAAAGGAAUAUUCAAUAAACUUAACAGGUAAAGCCACCUAACAAAGUAUUUGGUGUAAUCAAAUUGUUUCCAAUUGUUUGCAUUUAUUUUUGACCUCUCCAUUCUGAGUGUAAAUUUCAAACCAAGGAGUGAGUUGCACAACAAGCUGCAACAAGAGUGAUAGAGUAUGAUGAAGUCCCUAAAAAUACUGUUUUGUACAAAGGACUGAAUAUAGUCUACUGUCAACUUAUCUUUUGCUUCAGCAGGAAAGCGUUCAAACAAGGUGUCAAAAAUUUAACAAGUGAGUAUUGUUGUAGGUUUUGAAACAACAGUCAUAGAUUCUGUUUAGGAAUCUGGAAUUUGUGUUACAGUAUUUUUAGACUGAAUGUGGUUGGAAGUAUGCACAGAUAUUUUUCUUACUCACUUUCUCUUCCCAAAUCAUUAAAAAUAAAACCAGAGUAGUCCCAUGCUCUUUUCUAUAUGAUUAACUGAUAUAAUUGAACUCGUACAUUAAGUUAACAUCUUAUCCUUCACAAGUACAGAAUAUAUCAAGCGUAGUGAAUGUUUUCAAUAAAAUUACAUGUGUUCCAUGUUCCUGGGUUGUCCCUAAUGUGCAUGGUAAAGGCUCCUUAUGAUUGUGUCUUGCCCUACAGCUGGGUGAAAGAAUGCUGUGGAAAAGAGGCAGCAAAAGGAAGAAAAGGAAAAUGGACUCUGACUUCUGUAGCCCCUCUAAAUCUUCCUAAUAUCUUGUAUGUCUGAGGCUAAUUUUCUGCUAGUGAUUUGAAACCAGAAUUAAAUAGAAUCCCCACUGGAUUUUUCCUGUUCUAGAAAUGUUAUAUGCUCUUUAGAGACUUAAAGAAAUUCUUUAAUGUAGAACUAGCUUUGGAAUCUUUGAAAGUAAUAGCUAGAACUUAACUAGCUAGCAAUUGGUGUGAUAGAAAGGAUGGGUUUAUAACUCUGUAUAAGUAGGUUACAAGAAUCAGUUGAUAUAUUACUGUGCAUUUCUGGGCAGGAGAUAUAAACUUUAAAUGCUUUCUAGAAUCAGUGCAAAUCCAUACAUGACAAUCGAAGUAUUUGCUCAGGUCUAGACUACUUAAAACUACUGGAAACACUGGUAUUCAGUGCAGUUAUUAUUCAGCUGUUAGGGAUAAAACAGCUAUUAGAGUAGUUUUUCAUGUUUAUUUGAUUGUAGCACCCAGAGGUCCUAUUAGGAUUAAGAGAUAAUUGGAUGGGCAGUGUUUAAAAAAAAAAAAAGAUUAUGCACCAAGAUGGUAAGUUUUAAUGAAAAAUACUGCUUGAAAUAACCUUGUGUCUAUAUUUAGAAAAAAAAUGUAAGAUGAGCAGGGAUGGUAGCAAAUUCUGUAGCCUGAAUUAGGAAAUGAUUCGUGGAAAGCUACCUUUCAUUACAAGAAAAAAAAGUCAUCUCCUUUCUUGAAGCAUCUGAUUGAGAACACGUAAUGCAAUUGUAUCACUUCGGAUGUGUUAGAUGUGAUAGCGGCAUUAUUUUUAGAUUGAAGACCUAUUUGAUAUCCUAGCAUAUGGAAAAUUCAAUAUUCUUAUCAUUAACCAUUAGCAGAAUCUCAGGAAGAAUGGGACUUUGCAUAGCUUUUUCUUCAAAUUUGACCUGAUUAUUAUACUAUUAAAGCCUAAAGGUCAAACUCAAAUGGAAAGCUGCCCCCAGAUCCUUUGUCUUUCACUGUCUUUAACUUGGGAUGUGUGUGAGAUGAUGACAGGUGGCUUUAAAGUACCUUUUGCCCUUCCCUAAUCCUGGUUUAGGGGGAUUUAAACAUCACAGACAUAGUAAGUAGUCAGCAAACUGUUCUAUCUCGUACCUAGUUGCCCAGUGAUCACUAGGAGCUAGCAAAAUACAGGAACUGUGUUGUUUUAGCUUCAUCUCUUUCUGGUAUGCACUCCUGUGGUCUGGAGUAGAAUCUGCUCUGAUGACCCUAGUCUAUAUUCAGUUUCUAUGAGGUUUUUAUAGUGGUAAGUUAGUUCAAACCAGCUACUUCAUAGUUGUUAACCUGAUCUUUUAUCUUGUAUUCCAACUCUAUCAAUGUGUGAGUUCACAUAAGAAGUAUGCUGUACUAUAAAAAGAGUAAUAAAAACUACUUGCAGUUAUUGAUUACAUUCUUCUUGUUUGCAGAACUGUUUGCUGUCUCUUGUAACCUUAUCUUUAAAGAAGAAAAUUAGUGUCUGCAAUGAGAAAUAAGGAAAACAAGAAGGGGAGGGAAGGGAGUGAAAGGAAAUGGCAAUUUAAAAGAAUGUGAUCCAUACUGGAAUAAUUGAGGAUACAGCAGCAGAAAUAGAGAAGAAUGGGAUGUUCAUUAAGAAAAUGUUAAAUGGUUCUUGGUGUUAAAGCUCUACAAGUAACAUUUGGUCUUAAUGUUCUUUCACCAAAAAGACCUGUGAGUAGAAAUAGAAGGAUGCUGUCAAUAAGAGGUUAUAUAAUUUCUUAAUUUAUGUUUGCAUUAUUGAUUGUAGUCAAUGCUUGAGUAAUUGAAAUGGCUAUAAUCUGAUGGAUUGGAAAUUGGAAAAGUUGGAUGAUAGAAAAACAUGAGAAAAGUUUCAUGUAUCUUGAUUGUGUCAUAAGUUUUAUUGAAGCUCACUUACAUGAAUUAACAGAUAAAAAAGCUUCUCUAAAGCUAAUAUUUUACAAGAUACAUGAUACUUGACCAAGCCCAAGCAAGAUAGAAUUGACAGUGAUUACUGGCAGCAAGAUGCAUAAGGGAAUAGAUAUGACUAGCUCAUAUUACAGGGAUGGUGACUGUUUAUUGUUGAGGAUGUAAAUGUUUGUCUGGAAUCUUCACUAGGUAUCAUGCUGGAAAGAGAGAGAGAGAUCUCUAUUUCUGCUGAAAAUGUAAACAUGAGUCAGCAAAGGUUCUCUUUGUUUUCAUCAUGUAGGAUCAUAUCAUCAUGUCUGUAGGAUGAUGACAGCUUUUAAAAUAACACCUUUACCUUUGAUACACGUACUCUUGCUCUUCAUUAUGUUCAAGAGGUAACAAGCCUUGAAGACUGUUCAGAAACAACAGCUAAUAACAUUUCGGGAGACUGUCUGGGAAGUUGAUGAAAAAACUGUUUACAAACUACAGUGACUUUAUGCUUGUAUCUAAACCAACUAGGUAUCUAGUUUCAAAAAUCAUACUUUUUUUUGUCUCCUUUUGAAAAAAUACCUUAUUUUCUUCCAGCAGUUGAUGGCUUUGGGGAGCUGGUUGUUGCUGAUUAAUCUUAGCUGACUACUGAACUUUGGAGCUUUCCCUUGUUGGUAUAAUAGACCCAGAGUUUAAUCUUAUGUCCUCCCCCCAUUUUUUUUUAAUCCAGGAAAAAAAAAAAAACGCUCAUGGAAAUAAUAUGAAUGUUUUGAGAAUUGAAAUCAUUGUUAGCAGUGUGUUCCUGAUCACCCAUCAGCUCUUCGUAGGUAUAUGGAAAUGGUAAUUUACCAGAGCUACUGAAUCCUCUCUUUUUUUCUUUUCCACUGUGCAAUAAUUAACUGGUUAUCCAGCUUCAUAAUUCAAAGGUCUAAGAUUUGAUGCUUGUUCUCUUAAUUAUUUCUGGAGUUUUGAGUACAACUCUUCUAUAUGAAUAAAACAUUACUUUCAGGUCAAUAUAAGGUUUCAGGCUCAUGGCCUUCCAAUUAAUGAAACAACACUUCUUCUGUACCUAAUCAGCCACAAAGGAUUAUGGGGACCUAGGGCACUUUCAUUAGUAUCUCUUAAAGUGCCUGACACAAAGUGAUAUAGCUUCAGUUUUUCUGGGAAGUUGAAAUGUUAAACAGUCAUUCCUAAGGAACGAAAGGAGUUUUUAAUGUCCGGGUGAAUAUAGUAUGAAACCUGCCAUUUCUGUGAAUGUGACUUAUAAUAGCUGUGACUUACGAUGAGAUUUAAGGACAACUGUUUAUCUUAAAACAAACCAACAAAAACAAAAAAGGACCUUCCAUACUGCUGAAGACAAUAGUAAUUACAAUGGAUAGAUUGCAUAGCUCUGUUUGUAAACAUUUUUUUCUUCAAACUCAAAGUAGUGUUACAGUAGAAAUGUAAGCACGAGUAAAGAAUGUGUUCCAGUUUCUUGACUCUGCCUUUCACCUUAUGGUGUAGUGCAGCUGCACUAGAAACUCAAGUGUUACAGAUCUAAAAUUCCUUAAGCUAACCACCAGAGGAGUAAUUUAGUGGUUUUAAGAUCAUAUUCUUGUUGAUCGCUCCAUCUUCAAAACAGUAGGAGGUACCCCUUACUGCGAUGGGGUCUUUGCAAGACUCCUAUUGAAGAAAAUAUCUUAAGUUCUGGAACUGUGGAUUAUACAAUAAUAACUUCUGUAUGCAAGAAUAGGUGCUGAGAAGGAGGAGGAAUUCAGUUAGAUAUCCUGCAAAAUACAAAGCACACCAUUACGCUGUUCUUGAUGGUAAACUUUCACCUCAAUUCUCAUUCUGUGAAGUGGCUAUAAAAAUAACAUUGCAUGCUCUUUUGCUGGUAGCUUAAGUGACUCUAGCUUCUCCAGACAUGGAAUUGCCUACUUUCACCUGGCUAAUAAGGUACAGGCUGAUGAGAUGUUCAUGUGUAUAGUGAAGUCAGUUUGAGUGUUGUGUUCCUUACUAGCAUUUGCAGCCUGUUCCUGCAUUUGUGGAACUGUGCUGUAAAGCAGGCACAGCAGCCCCUCUCUCUUGAGGACCUAAAUAACUGCAGGGACAAAAGGGAUGAUGAGUUGUAGUGCUGCAGCUCAGAAGGAUGGUGGAUAAAGAAGGAAGUGUGAACUUCUCAAGGCAGUUACCUGCUUACCAAAGUCUGCUCAUUGAACUGUUCUGUAUCAUAUUCCCGUGAACAAGUACCCCAAGGAGAAGAGUGAGGUUUGUUUGUUUUAAACUAUUGUAAUCCUUUUUACCUUACGCAUUCAUGAGUUUGGUCUCUUGUCAAAGCACUUUUGCAGGUUGGCUGAAUCAGGUACUAUUUUCAAAGCAAGAGGCUUGGGUAGAGUUCUUUAGCAGUCAGCUAAGAAUGGCUAAAAAUAUAGUAAUUAUCUUGAGUUAAUGUUUACUUUGUUUUUCCAUUUUAUAUUACAAAAAAUAUUCAUACUGUAAAUACCUCAAUAUACAGCUCAAUGGUUGGUAUACACAGGGUGUUGCAGGGCAGCUGUGUUUUGGUCAUUCACUGACUGUCUUUGUUUUCGGUAAGACUCUUUCAUCAGCCUACUGAUGUCAUCUUUUUCAGCAAGCACAAAACUUUCUCACAAAAUUCAUGGAGUAGUACUAUAUUUUCUGCUUUUUCAUUAAGUAGGAAGUGCUUAGUCUCUAUCUGUCUGAAAUAUGUAUCAAAACUAUAAAAGUCUGUCACCUGCAAUCUCCUCUACUGCUAAACCAUGUUCUCUCUUGCUCAGUGUUGUUGGUUUUUUCUUUGAUUCUUUUCCUUGGUUCCCCUGGGAUCUCUGGAGCAUUUGAUCCUGGCUAUUGGAAAAACAUCACAUAACAAUUCUUAGCAUGUGAGAAACCCAUUUUUGAAGUUCAUCCUGAACAUCCCUGAACUCUUUGAUUAAUAGGGAUGUAUGGCAAAGAAAAUAGGUAACUUAAGAUAUUGGCACAAAGUAGGUACUGUUGCCUAUUUGGUAAUUAAGUUAUGACACCAGCUCUGUGGGAAAUGACAAAAGUAAUUUGGGAGACAUUCUAGCUUGGAUGCUACAUUAGUGAACAGUAAUCUUACCUCUUAUUAGGUCUACUCUGUUGCCUAUUCUAGCAUCACAUCUUCAUUUACUUACACCAUUUGCUGAGGUGGAUGUUGUACAGUUUUAUCCUCUUUUGUACAACAUAUUUUUCUCUGAGAAGACAACUGUUUUUCUUCUGGAUUUUUCUAGUUCUCAUCUGUAAAAUGACUGAAACAUUCACCUAGUUUUACAUCGGGAAACUGAGGCUCAGAAAAGUUCUGUUUAAACAUAUCAUUUGAUUUUUGAGUAUCUCAGUUAAGACAUCAAAGACUCAGUUUCAGUGUACUUUGUAUAUGAUAAAAGCACAGUUCCCGUCAAUUUUGUUUACAGCAGUGAGUGCUUCCUGUUCUGCGGGACAGGACUAGGUGUCUCAAACCAGAAAUGAAUGCUUCAGAAGCUUAAGUGACUUAUUAUACAGAAAGGCUGUUGUCUGGGUGGAACUAGAGUAACGUUCUCUAGUGUGGUAAACUUCUUUCCUUUCUUGUUUCAUUUGCUGUAAGUAUUUAUAUUUCUGUAAUACAGGGGAUAGUAUACUUCCUUCACUACUUUGUCUUCAUCAAUGAGUAUACCUGCUGGUAUAUUGGAUGAGGUAGCAUCCUAUGGAAAACAGCAGGUCUGGGCUUCAGAAAUGAGAAUGCUUUGGCUCUUAUUUUGAAAGAUGUGCCAUGCAUUUCUCUCCUUCAUGGAGAGAAAUACAUGGAAGUGGAUAGCAUCAUACAGAAAACCUAAAUUAACAUGGGAAAGACUAAUAUUUCUAUUGUUUCAUACAGUGAAACCCAUGGUAGAUGCUCAUUGAGUCAUUAUAUUCUACCAUAUGAGAGCUCUUGGGAUGUUCACUUGUGGUUUUCCAAUGCUGCCUAGACUUGGCUGUAAGAAUGAAGUCUGUUUUCUGGGAAAAUAUCAAGAAGACAAGGAUUCCAGUCUUGAGUUUUCUCAGCAUAGCUCAGUUUGCUCUCAUAAAAGGUCUUCAGAGUUAUUCCAUAUUACCCUACUUCCCUUGUGAGUAUCCCAGUAAGUUUUUAGAAUGUAAGUUAUUUGGAAAUGCCUCUUCACUCCUUGUUCUUUCUAAGGUACAAAU